GACGAACGCUGGCGGCGUGCUUAACACAUGCAAGUCGAACGGUGAACUCCGCUUGCGGGGGGAUCAGUGGCGAACGGGUGAGUAACACGUGGGCAACCUGCCCUCAGCUCUGGGAUAACUCCAAGAAAUUGGGGCUAAUACCGGAUAUGACCGCUGACCGCAUGGUCUGGUGGUGGAAAGAUUUAUCGGCUGGGGAUGGGCCCGCGGCCUAUCAGCUUGUUGGUGGGGUAGUGGCCUACGAAGGCGACGACGGGUAGCCGGCCUGAGAGGGUGACCGGCCACACUGGGACUGAGACACGGCCCAGACUGCUACGGGAGGCAGCAGUGGGGAAUAUUGCGCAAUGGGCGAAAGCCUGACGCAGCGACGCCGCGUGGGGGAUGACGGCUUUCGGGUUGUAAACCUCUUUCAGCAGGGACGAAGCGAAAGUGACGGUACCUGCAGAAGAAGCACCGGCCAACUACGUG
rnacentral:rRNA from 1 species